AUAUUAAAAGCACAUUAAAUCACUAUCAUAAAUAUAUUAUUUCUACAAUUUUUAAUUUUCAAGAUAAUUAGUGAGUAAUAAAAUAUCAAAUUUCAUAUAUAUAAUAUUUUUAAACUAAUAUAUAUGUAUAUAUAUAUAAUAAAUAAUAAUAGUUUUAAUGAUUUUUUAGUCUAUAAAAUAUAAAUAUUUUAUGUAUCCCGCAGUUACACUAUUCAUUACACAUGUCACCAUUCACAUUUUGUUUUAAACCGCUUCUUUUAGAUGAACCGCACUUAUCCUGCAGUAUGCGUUUUUCUAACACAAAC
rnacentral:lncRNA from 1 species